GAGACCAUGUGAGGACAGAGAGGGCACUGCCCGGUGCCAUGCUGAGGCCACAGGAGAAACUGACCCUGCUGGCACCUCAACGGCAAACCACAGGAACCCCCAGGCAACAGACCCAGGUUAAGAAGCCAAGAACCAGGCGACUUCUACGGUCCUGGACUCCACCCAGCCUGGCACAGGCCUCGUGCUGCACAGGGAGGGCUCUGCGGGCGAAGAUAAAGGGGCGGACUCUGUGGGCCACUGCAGAGCAAGUCAAGACCAGGAGACUCAGGAGCUCCGGGCCCCUUUGCUGAGGGUGACUGCUGCUGCCCCUGAGUGCUGGGGAGGUCUCAGCCUCCUCCUCUGGGAGUGUCAUCUGGGAGAUCUCAGGGGCAGCCCUGGGCACUCCGGGAGAUCGUUAGCCAGGAGGCUGGAUGACUUGGUCCUGAGGCUCCGUGAUGGUUCCUGUCCAUGAAAGGACACAGUUCAAGAGCAGAGCUCCUGCCAGUUCCCGUUUGUUUUUCAGUCCUAUUAGUCCUGAUAUGAGGCUUAAUACUUCCCUGGAGAGCAAGGUGAAGCCGCUGGAAUCACAGAGUGUAAUCACGAGAAAAGCAUCAGGCGAGGCCCCACGGAGAAACAGUCCACAAACAGCUGACCUGUGCACGUCAAGACGUCCAGGUCUUCCAAAAUGAGGAGGGCCCAGAAACCAUCACAGCCAGAGAGACAUGGUCACUAAAGGAAAUGUGGUGUCCUGGAUGGGACCCUGGAACAGAACAAGACAUUGAUUAAACCAAGAGCAGGAAGUGCUGGGGAGUGGCAUUGGCCAAAUAAUAUUGUUAUGUCGUGUUCACGUAUGAAUAGGUGCCAACAAGUCCCAUCAUUAUGUACAACUAAUGUGCCAAUAAAAA